GACGAACGCUGGCGGCGUGCUUAACACAUGCAAGUCGAACGGAAAGGCCCUGCUUUUGUGGGGUGCUCGAGUGGCGAACGGGUGAGUAACACGUGAGUAACCUGCCCUUGACUUUGGGAUAACUUCAGGAAACUGGGGCUAAUACCGGAUAGGAGCUCCUGCUGCAUGGUGGGGGUUGGAAAGUUUCGGCGGUUGGGGAUGGACUCGCGGCUUAUCAGCUUGUUGGUGGGGUAGUGGCUUACCAAGGCUUUGACGGGUAGCCGGCCUGAGAGGGUGACCGGCCACAUUGGGACUGAGAUACGGCCCAGACUCCGACGGGAGGCAGCAGUGGGGAAUAUUGCACAAUGGGCGGAAGCCGGAUGCAGCAACGCCGGGUGCGGGAGGACGGCCUUCGGGUUGUAAACCGCUUUCGCCUGUGACGAAGCGUGAGUGACGGUAAUGGGUAAAGAAGCACCGGCUAACUACGU
rnacentral:rRNA from 1 species